GGCCUCCCUCUGUGGGGUGAUCGAUUGCAGGGCUCUGCAAUCGAUCGCCCCGCAGAGAGAGGCC
rfam:Myotis lucifugus cont2.29270, whole genome shotgun sequence.